AUUGAACGCUGGCGGCAGGCCUAACACAUGCAAGUCGAGCGGCAGCGGGAAGUAGCUUGCUACUUUGCCGGCGAGCGGCGGACGGGUGAGUAAUGUCUGGGAAACUGCCUGAUGGAGGGGGAUAACUACUGGAAACGGUAGCUAAUACCGCAUAACGUCGCAAGACCAAAGAGGGGGACCUUCCGGCCUCUUGCCAUCCGAUGUGCCCAGAUGGGAUUAGCUAGUAGGUGGGGUAACGGCUCAACUAGGCGACGAUCCCUAGCUGGUCUGAGAGGAUGACCAGACACACUGGAACUGAGACACGGUCCAGACUCCUACGGGAGGCAGCAGUGGGGAAUAUUGCACAAUGGGCGCAAGCCUGAUGCAGCCAUGCCGCGUGUAUGAAGAAGGCCUUCGGGUUGUAAAGUACUUUCAGCGGGGAGGAAGGUGUUGAGGUUAAUAACCUCAGCAAUUGACGUUACCCGCAGAAGAAGCACCGGCUAACUCCGUGCCAGCCGCCGCCGUAAUAC
rnacentral:rRNA from 1 species